rnacentral:rRNA from 1 species
AGUGAACGCUGGCGGUAGGCCUAACACAUGCAAGUCGAACGGCAGCACAGUAAGAGCUUGCUCUUACGGGUGGCGAGUGGCGGACGGGUGAGGAAUACAUCGGAAUCUACUUUUUCGUGGGGGAUAACGUAGGGAAACUUACGCUAAUACCGCAUACGACCUACGGUUGACAUCAGUGGAUCUUCGGACCUUGCGCGAUUGAUUGAGCCGAUGUCGGAUUAGCUAGUUGGCGGGGUAAAGGCCCACCAAGGCGACGAUCCGUAGCUGGUCUGAGAGGAUGAUCAGCCACACUGGAACUGAGACACGGUCCAGACUCCUACGGGAGGCGGCAGUGGGGAAUAGUGGACAAUGGGCGCAAGCCUGAUCCAGCCAUACCGAGUGGGUGAAGAAGGCCUUCGGGUUGUAAAGCCCUUUUGUUGGGAAAGAAAAGCAGCAGGUUAAUGCCUCGCUGUUCUGACGGUACCCAAAGAAUAAGCGCCGGCUAACUUCGUG